rnacentral:rRNA from 1 species
CCUACGGGGGGCAGCAGUGGGGAAUAUUGGACAAUGGGGGGAACCCUGAUCCAGCCAUGCCGCGUGUGUGAAGAAGGCCCUCGGGUUGUAAAGCACUUUCAGUGAGGAAGAACGCCUGGUGGUUAAUACCCAUCAGGAAAGACAUCACUCACAGAAGAAGCACCGGCUAACUCCGUGCCAGCAGCCGCGGUAAUACGGAGGGUGCGAGCGUUAAUCGGAAUUACUGGGCGUAAAGCGCGCGUAGGUGGCUUGAUAAGCCGGUUGUGAAAGCCCCGGGCUCAACCUGGGAACGGCAUCCGGAACUGUCAAGCUAGAGUGCAGGGGAGGAAGGUAGAAUUCCCGGUGUAGCGGUGAAAUGCGUAGAGAUCGGGAGGAAUACCAGUGGCGAAGGCGGCCUUCUGGACUGACACUGACACUGAGGUGCGAAAGCGUGGGUAGCAAACAGGAUUAGAUACCCCUGUAGUC